GAUGAACGCUGGCGGCGUGCCUAAUACAUGCAAGUCGAGCGAACAGACGAGGAGCUUGCUCCUCUGACGUUAGCGGCGGACGGGUGAGUAACACGUGGAUAACCUACCUAUAAGACUGGGAUAACUUCGGGAAACCGGAGCUAAUACCGGAUAAUAUAUUGAACCGCAUGGUUCAAUAGUGAAAGACGGUUUUGCUGUCACUUAUAGAUGGUUCCGCGCCGCAUUAGCUAGUUGGUAAGGUAACGGCUUACCAAGGCAACGAUGCGUAGCCGACCUGAGAGGGUGAUCGGCCACACUGGAACUGAGACACGGUCCAGACUCCUACGGGAGGCAGCAGUAGGGAAUCUUCCGCAAUGGGCGAAAGCCUGACGGAGCAACGCCGCGUGAGUGAUGAAGGUCUUCGGAUCGUAAAGCUCUGUUAUUAGGGAAGAACAAAUGUGUAAGUAACUAUGCACGUCUUGACGGUACCUAAACAGAAAGCCACGGCUAACUACGUG
rnacentral:rRNA from 1 species